UACAUGCAAGUCGAGCGAACUGAUUAGAAGCUUGCUUCUAUGACGUUAGCGGCGGACGGGUGAGUAACACGUGGGCAACCUGCCUGUAAGACUGGGAUAACUUCGGGAAACCGAAGCUAAUACCGGAUAGGAUCUUCUCCUUCAUGGGAGAUGAUUGAAAGAUGGUUUCGGCUAUCACUUACAGAUGGGCCCGCGGUGCAUUAGCUAGUUGGUGAGGUAACGGCUCACCAAGGCAACGAUGCAUAGCCGACCUGAGAGGGUGAUCGGCCACACUGGGACUGAGACACGGCCCAGACUCCUACGGGAGGCAGCAGUAGGGAAUCUUCCGCAAUGGACGAAAGUCUGACGGAGCAACGCCGCGUGAGUGAUGAAGGCUUUCGGGUCGUAAAACUCUGUUGUUAGGGAAGAACAAGUACAAGAGUAACUGCUUGUACCUUGACGGUACCUAACCAGAAAGCCACGGCUAACUACGUGCCAGCAGCCGCGGUAAUACGUAGGUGGCAAGCGUUAUCCGGAAUUAUUGGGCGUAAAGCGCGCGCAGGCGGUUUCUUAAGUCUGAUGUGAAAGCCCACGGCUCAACCGUGGAGGGUCAUUGGAAACUGGGGAACUUGAGUGCAGAAGAGAAAAGCGGAAUUCCACGUGUAGCGGUGAAAUGCGUAGAGAUGUGGAGGAACACCAGUGGCGAAGCGGCUUUUUGGUCUGUAACUGACGCUGAGCGCGAAAGCGUGGGGGAGCAAACAGAUUAGAUACCCUGGUAGUCCACGCCGUAACGAUGAGUGCUAAGUGUUAGAGGGUUUCCGCCCUUUAGUGCUGCAGCUACGCAUUAAGCACUCCGCUUGG
rnacentral:rRNA from 2 species